CAGCAGCCGCGGUAACACGUAGGUGGCAAGCGUUGUCCGGAAUUAUUGGGCGUAAAGGGCUCGCAGGCGGUUUCUUAAGUCUGAUGUGAAAGCCCCCGGCUCAACCGGGGAGGGUCAUUGGAAACUGGGAAACUUGAGUGCAGAAGAGGAGAGUGGAAUUCCACGUGUAGCGGUGAAAUGCGUAGAGAUGUGGAGGAACACCAGUGGCGGAGGCGACUCUCUGGUCUGUAACUGACGCUGAGGAGCGAAAGCGUGGGGAGCGAACAGGAUUAGAUACCCGAGUAGUCCCUGUCUCUUAUAC
rnacentral:rRNA from 1 species